CCCGAGCAGAGGCGGUGGCACCAGGGGGUGCUGCGUGCUCGCAGCUUGGACCGCAGACACUGCUGCUGCGAAAUGGCAACAAGAAGAAGGUGACUUUAUUUUACCUGCUUGUUUUUUAUUGUUACUGUUUUCAUUGGAUUGCUCCCAACUCACGCCCGGGAUGGUGAAGCCGUUAUUAGGACAUUUCUCACCGAAGCGCUGGAUGCUCUCCCUGCUCCUCGCUGUUGAGAUAUUUUAACUUCUGGGGUCUGGAGGAGGGACACCAAUCCCUGUGCUGGCCUCUGACAAUUUUGGCCACAAAACGUUGCUUCUGCACUUCUGCAGCCUCCGACGUCUCGAAAUGCAGGUGCAGUCAGGACCUCAAAAGCCGCAGCCAAGAGCAGCAGCCCCCUGCUCUGUGGGCCAUCGGAGGCGAGCUGGGCAGUGAGUGGCAGCACCGCAGCUCCCUCCACUGCUGGGGCUGUGCGCCGGUGCUGCCUGUUCUUUGUCAUUCAGGAAUAAUGAAACCUGUGAGUGGAAGGGAAGAGCAAACUACUGGUCUACGAUGUCGGGAAGGAAAUCAACGUAACUUGAUUGUGUUUAGUGAUCUGAGACACAUAAUUAAUAGCAUGAGGACAUUUGAAACAAGAGAUAUUAUGCUUGUUUUGAAACUGGCCAUCUCUGCGUGUGCUGGGCGUAACGCGAGCCCUGGCGCCGGG
rnacentral:lncRNA from 1 species